rnacentral:lncRNA from 1 species
UUUAAAAAAGGGACAUAUAUAUUUACUGUUAAUUAUAAAAUUUUGAAAAAUAAAUAUAUUAGGUGAAAUUGUAUUGAGCUUAUCUUAUUAAGGCUUAGUUUGAUAUCGAGGUAUAUCUAACGCUAUUAGAUAAAAUGGAUUUGAGGAAAAAACAUAUAAGGAUAUGCUUCUCCGUUCUCCAAUGGGACCACAAAAAAUAUAUCGUAACCGACUCAUCGCGAUAUGCGGAACGUAAUAUUGCGUACGGUAACAAACAGAUAUUUUUCCAACGUACUUUCUUACCGCACGUAACGCAAUCUCCCUGCAAUCCCAAAUAAAGUCUAAGUGGUACAACUCCUAAAAAUAUAUUUUAUUUUAAGCCAAGAUAUUUUUCCAACGUACUUUCUCACCCCACGUAACGCAAUCUCCUGCAAUCUCAAACGAAGCCUAAGUGGUCAAACUCCUAAAAAUAUAUUUUAUUUUAAGCUCAAUUACACUUUGGUCCUCAAACUAUGACGUAGUAAAAAACUUUUGCCAAAUAUGACUAAUAACAAUUUUGGAAUAGAUUAUAUUUUAUUGUCAGGAUUACUUAAUUUUAUAAACUGGAUCAAAUAUAGUAAUAUCAUAUACACUGCAAUCCAGCAUUAUGCAUUAAAUUAAACGCGCUAAUACAACAUGAAUAGUAAUCUCAUUCAAAAAUUCAGAAUAUUUGGAUAUGUCGAAAUAACUUAUAAUAUUACAUAAUGUAAACCAAACGCGCUCUUAAAUUAUAGAAAACCAAAAUAAGAAACCGCUAAACCACA